UCGGUGUCUUGCAGACCUGGACUCGAAGAUCGCUCUUCCGGUUUCGUUUACUAACUUCCAAGCAACAAGCUUCAGGAUCGCAGCGUGCGUUGGAGAACUAAAAUCGAGAACCAGACGAAGCAUCGCUGAAUCUAGAUCAGCUCGUUGAGGUCUCUGAAUUUCAAGGAAUCAACGUACACGUUAUUACCAGAACUAUGGGCUCGUGGAACGACAUUGACACCUCGACUGCAGUAGGUGUAACUGGAGCAGCAGCAGCUACUGCGAUACUUGUUCCAGUGCUCUCUUCGAUCGCAGGCUUGGUUCUCUUCUGCCUCUGCAUUUGGGCCUGCUGUAGAUGCUGUUGCAGAAGUUCGACAACAAUUGUUACAAGCAAUACUUUUGUCGCCCCCACUGCUCCAAGUGGGAAUGGGUAUUCUAAUAUUGCAGUGGUCUAAAAACUGUAAUAUUGGAAAAACAUGGACUUCAGCUUUGAUCAUUGUCACAACAUUUUGUAUCUGCGACGAACAUUAUCAUUUCCAAAAUUAAUAUAAUCUAAUAUACGUGUAUCCCAUCUAAUGUGUAGGAAGUCCCUGUUACCAAAUAUCCUAUGUAGUUUUCAGUUUAUUCGUGAUUAAAAAUAAAUGUGUAUCGUGACUGUUGUUAAACUUGUAAUAUUAUAACGAGUCCGGAAAGAAAUAUUGCUGGCAAUAAAUCAUGAAAAAUCAGGAAAAAAAAAAAAAAA